AAGCAACACUCUGUGGCAGACGACCAAAACUGUCUGACACAAUUUGAGCUUGCUAUAGCACGAGAUUCUAACAUAUUCCUGUGUUCUUUCCUCCACGAGACAAGCUGUUAUAUAGACUUAAACAGU
ensembl:snoRNA